GAUGAACGCUGGCGGCGUGCCUAAUACACGCAAGUCGAGCGAACGGACGAGAAGCUUGCUUCUCUGAUGUUAGCGGCGGACGGGUGAGUAACACGUGGAUAACCUACCUAUAAGACUGGGAUAACUUCGGGAAACCGGAGCUAAUACCGGAUAAUAUUUUGAACCGCAUGGUUCAAAAGUGAAAGACGGUCUUGCUGUCACUUAUAGAUGGAUCCGCGCUGCAUUAGCUAGUUGGUAAGGUAACGGCUUACCAAGGCAACGAUGCAUAGCCGACCUGAGAGGGUGAUCGGCCACACUGGAACUGAGACACGGUCCAGACUCCUACGGGAGGCAGCAGUAGGGAAUCUUCCGCAAUGGGCGAAAGCCUGACGGAGCAACGCCGCGUGAGUGAUGAAGGUCUUCGGAUCGUAAAGCUCUGUUAUUAGGGAAGAACAUAUGUGUAAGUAACUGUGCACAUCUUGACGGUACCUAAUCAGAAAGCCACGGCUAACUACGUGCCAGCAGCCGCGGUAAUACGUAGGUGGCAAGCGUUAUCCGGAAUUAUUGGGCGUAAAGCGCGCGUAGGCGGUUUUUUAAGUCUGAUGUGAAAGCCCACGGCUCAACCGUGGAGGGUCAUUGGAAACUGGAAAACUUGAGUGCAGAAGAGGAAAGUGGAAUUCCAUGUGUAGCGGUGAAAUGCGCAGAGAUAUGGAGGAACACCAGUGGCGAAGGCGACUUUCUGGUCUGUAACUGACGCUGAUGUGCGAAAGCGUGGGGAUCAAACAGGAUUAGAUACCCUGGUAGUCCACGCCGUAAACGAUGAGUGCUAAGUGUUAGGGGGUUUCCGCCCCUUAGUGCUGCAGCUAACGCAUUAAGCACUCCGCCUGGGGAGUACGACCGCAAGGUUGAAACUCAAAGGAAUUGACGGGGACCCGCACAAGCGGUGGAGCAUGUGGUUUAAUUCGAAGCAACGCGAAGAACCUUACCAAAUCUUGACAUCCUUUGACAACUCUAGAGAUAGAGCUUUCCCCUUCGGGGGACAAAGUGACAGGUGGUGCAUGGUUGUCGUCAGCUCGUGUCGUGAGAUGUUGGGUUAAGUCCCGCAACGAGCGCAACCCUUAAGCUUAGUUGCCAUCAUUAAGUUGGGCACUCUAAGUUGACUGCCGGUGACAAACCGGAGGAAGGUGGGGAUGACGUCAAAUCAUCAUGCCCCUUAUGAUUUGGGCUACACACGUGCUACAAUGGACAAUACAAAGGGCAGCGAAACCGUGAGGUCAAGCAAAUCCCAUAAAGUUGUUCUCAGUUCGGAUUGUAGUCUGCAACUCGACUACAUGAAGCUGGAAUCGCUAGUAAUCGUAGAUCAGCAUGCUACGGUGAAUACGUUCCCGGGUCU
rnacentral:rRNA from 1 species